rnacentral:rRNA from 1 species
GACGAACGCUGGCGGCGUGCCUAACACAUGCAAGUCGAGCGGAGCUAAUAGUAAUAUUAGCUUAGCGGCGGACGGGUGAGUAACGCGUGGGUAACCUGCCUUAUACAGGGGGAUAACACAGGGAAACUUGUGCUAAUACCGCAUAACGUAGCACCAAGGCAUCUUGGAGCUAACAAAGGAGUAAUCCGGUAUAAGAUGGACCCGCGUCCGAUUAGCUAGUUGGUGGGGUAAAAGCCUACCAAGGCGACGAUCGGUAGCCGAACUGAGAGGUUGAUCGGCCACAUUGGGACUGAGACACGGCCCAGACUCCUACGGGUGGCUG